GGUUUGAAAAGAUCCAUGGUCUUGAAAGAAGGAAAACGGUAAUACUGGUUUUGUGGUCCUAUGUUCAUGCAUCAGAUUCAGAGAUGCUGUCCUCAGUCCUCUGAAGUCUACUCCCUACCUCUUCCUCACACCCUGUGGAACCUAGGCCCCUCACCUGGAUGUUGGGAAUCAGCUCCUGCCUGUGUCUCCUGGCUGGAUAUCAACUUGUACAUCAUAGCCUGCACUAGUGUGUACAGCCUAACAGACUCUGAACCCCACAAAUAAUUUCUGGUUCAUAGAGGAGCUCUGGCAUCACGUUCAUAAUAACAACAACCCCUUCUUCUAACACUGCCAGAACAUCUGGAUAUUCCAUCUCCUCAGUUGAUCAUUUGCUGCCUUGGAUUUGGCAUUAAUCUUCGCAUAGUUCCAUCUGGCACUAUUGGAUAGCUUUGUCUCUGGACUCUUGCCUUGGACCUACAGUCUUAUUUAUGCACUUUAUUUCAGUUUCAUCUUUUGCUGUCAUGUUCAUCUGUAAGUGGCUGAUUAGAUCAAUGCUAGCUGAUGUAUCACAGAGUGAAAUAUUGUAUGACCAUGAAAAGGAUGAUGUCAAUUAAGAAAGAUUGGCAUGGAAAGAUCCCCACAGUGUAUUUUUGAAUAAUAAUAAUAUCAGGUUGCAAAAUAAUAUGUUCAGUAUCAUUCCAUUCACAUUAAAUUAUACAGCUCUCUAAAAAGAGAAGCAUGGAAUUUUUUUCAAGAAAUAUCAAUGGAGGUAAGAUUACAAGCAUCUGUGCU